rnacentral:SRP_RNA from 2 species
GCCGGGCAUGGUGGCGCAUGCCUGUAAUCCAGCUACUUGGGAGGCUGAGGCAGGAGAAUUGCUUGAACCCAGGAGGCAGAGGUUGCAGUGAGCCAAGAUAGCGCCACUGCACUCCAGCCUGGGCGACACAGUGAGAACCCGUCUCAA